rnacentral:rRNA from 1 species
AAAUUGAAGAGUUUGAUCAUGGCUCAGAUUGAACGCUGGCGGCAGGCCUAACACAUGCAAGUCGAACGGUAACAGGAAGCAGCUUGCUGCUUCGCUGACGAGUGGCGGACGGGUGAGUAAUGUCUGGGAAACUGCCUGAUGGAGGGGGAUAACUACUGGAAACGGUGGCUAAUACCGCAUAACGUCGCAAGACCAAAGAGGGGGACCUUCGGGCCUCUUGCCAUCAGAUGUGCCCAGAUGGGAUUAGCUUGUUGGUGAGGUAACGGCUCACCAAGGCGACGAUCCCUAGCUGGUCUGAGAGGAUGACCAGCCACACUGGAACUGAGACACGGUCCAGACUCCUACGGGAGGCAGCAGUG